rnacentral:rRNA from 1 species
GUCUAAGUAUAAGCAAUUAUACCGCGAAACUGCGAAUGGCUCAUUAAAUCAGUUAUCGUUUAUUUGAUAGUUCCCUACUACUUGGAUAACCGUGGUAAUUCUAGAGCUAAUACAUGCUAAAAACCGCGACUUCGGAAGCGGUGUAUUUAUUAGAUUAAAGACCAAUGCCCUAACGGGCUCACUGGUGAUUCAUGAUAACUUUUCGAAUCGCAUGGCCUUGCGCCGGCGAUGGUUCAUUCAAAUUUCUGCCCUAUCAACUUUCGACUUUAGUGUAGUGGACUAAAGUGGUUACAACGGGUAACGGAGGGUUAGGGCUCGACCCCGGAGAAGGAGCCUGAGAGACGGCUACUACAUCCAAGGAAGGCAGCAGGCGCGCAAAUUACCCAAUCCCGACACGGGGAGGUAGUGACAAUAAAUACUGAUACAGGGCUCUUUUGGGUCUUGUAAUUGGAAUGAGUACAAUUUAAAUCUCUUAACGAGGAACAAUUGGAGGGCAAGUCUGGUGCCAGCAGCCGCGGUAAUUCCAGCUCCAAUAGCGUAUAUUAAAGUUGUUGUGGUUAAAAAGCUCGUAGUUGAACCUGGGCCUCGCGCAGACCGGUCCGCCUCACCGCGUGCACUGGUCCUGCCGGGGCUUUCACUAGGGGAUUCGCAUGUCCUUCACUGGGCGUGCGCGGAACCUGGACUUUUACUGUGAAAAAAUUAGAGUGUUCAAAGCAGGCCUAUGCUCGAAUACAUUAGCAUGGAAUAAUAGAAUAGGACGUGUGGUUCUAUUUUGUUGGUUAUGGGACCGCCGUAAUGAUUAAUAGGGACAGUCGGGGGCAUCAGUAUUCAAUUGUCAGAGGUGAAAUUCUUGGAUUUAUUGAAGACUAACUACUGCGAAAGCAUUUGCCAAGGAUGUUUUCAUUAAUCAGGAACGAAAGUUAGGGGAUCGAAGACGAUCAGAUACCGUCGUAGUCUUAACCAUAAACUAUGCCGACUAGGGAUCGGGCGAUGUUACUUUUUGACUCGCUCGGCACCUUACGAGAAAUCAAAGUCUGUGGGUUCCUGGGG